rnacentral:lncRNA from 1 species
UUGCCUUUGGCAAACAGGUUUCUCAGCUUCUCCCUCAGCCACUCUGAUGUCCUGCUGAGAUGCCUUUCCACCACCAUAGGCUCGCAGCCUCUGAAAGAACUACCAAUUCUAUGAGAAUAGCACUAGGCCAGGCGUGGUGGCCUUUAAUCCCAGCACUCCGGAGGCAGAGGCAAGCGGAUUUCUGAGUUCGAGGCCAGCCUGGUCUACAAAGUGAGUUCCAGGACAGCCAGGGCUGUAGUCCCCCCUCCCCCAGCCUGAAACCUGCUUGCUCAGGGGUGGAGCUUCCUGCUCAUUCGUUCUGCCACGCCCACUGCUGGACCUUGCAGCUUUGCUGUUUGGAGCCACAUCGUGCUCACCCUGCUACUGGAUUCCGAGAUUAUUUGGCGGGAAUCGGGUCCCCUCCCCCUUCCUUCAUAACUGAGUGUCGCAACAGUAAAAUUGAGCUUUGAUCAGAG